AUGCCCUGGUGUACUGAGAAUAUGCACUCCAGGCUAGGACAUGUAGUUUCAGGUAUCAGUAAUGGUGGUUUGGCUGGUUUCUACAGCAGCCUUUGUCUUCCAAAUCUUGAGCCAGGGAGGGUCAAUGAAGGGGGAUGCUUGGGG